rnacentral:tRNA from 1 species
GGGUUCUUAGCUCAGUUGGCAGAGCAGUUGACUCUUAAUCAUCAGGUCGAGGGUUCGACCCCCUCAGAACCCAUCA